UACGUAGGGCGCAAGCGUUGUCCGGAAUUAUUGGGCGUAAAGAGCUCGUAGGCGGUGUGUCGCGUCGGCCGUGAAAACCUGUGGCUUAACUGCGGGCUUGCGGUCGAUACGGGCAUCACUGGAGUUCGGCAGGGGAGACUGGAAUUCCUGGUGUAGCGGUGAAAUGCGCAGAUAUCAGGAGGAACACCGGUGGCGAAGGCGGGUCUCUGGGCCGAUACUGACGCUGAGGAGCGAAAGCGUGGGGAGCAAACAGG
rnacentral:rRNA from 1 species